rfam:Triticum urartu cultivar G1812 contig481134, whole genome shotgun sequence.
AGAGUACUCCCUCCGUUCGGAAUUACUUGUCGCAGAAAUGGAGUUAUCUAGACGUAUUUUUAGUUCUAGAUACAUCCAUUUCCAAGACAAGUAAUUCCGAACGGAGGGAGUAGAUA